UACGGAGGGUGCGAGCGUUGUCCGGAAUCACUGGGCGUAAAGGGCGCGUAGGCGGCCCGGUAAGCGUGUGGUGAAAGCCCGGGGCUCAACCCCGGGUCGGCCGUGCGAACUGCUGGGCUGGAGCACUGUAGGGGCGGGUGGAAUUCCGGGUGUAGCGGUGGAAUGCGCAGAGAUCCGGAAGAACACCAGUGGCGAAGGCGGCCCGCUGGGCAGUGGCUGACGCUGAGGCGCGACAGCGUGGGGAGCAAACAGG
rnacentral:rRNA from 1 species